AACGAACGCUGGCGGCAGGCCUCAAACAUGCAAGUCUAGGGGGUGUAGCAAUACAUCACCGGCGGACGGGUGCGUAACGCGUGGGAAUAUACCUAUUGGUUCGGAACAACUGAGGGAAACUUCAGCUAAUACCGGAUACGUCCUUACGGAGAAAGAUUUAUCGCCAAUAGAUUAGCCCGCGUUCGAUUAGCUAGUUGGUGGGGUAACGGCCCACCAAGGCGACGAUCGAUAGCUGUUCUGAGAGGAAGAUCAGCCACACUGGGACUGAGACACGGCCCAGACUCCUACGGGAGGCAGCAGUUGGGAAUCUUGGACAAUGGGGGAAACCCUGAUCCAGCUACGCCGCGUGGGUGAUGAAGGCCUCGGUUGUAAG
rnacentral:rRNA from 1 species